rnacentral:tRNA from 1 species
GAAACAUGUCUGAUAAAAGAAUUACUUUGAUAGAGUAAAUAAUAGGGGUCAAAAUCCCCUUGUUUCU